rnacentral:rRNA from 1 species
UACGAAGGGGGCUAGCGUUGCUCGGAAUUACUGGGCGUAAAGGCGCAACGUAGGCGGAUCUUUAAGUCAGGGGUGAAAUCCUGGAGCUCAACUCCAGAACUGCCUUGAUACUGAGGACCUUGAGUUCGGGAGAGGUGAGUGGAACUGCGAGUGUAGAGGUGAAAUUCGUAGAUAUUACGCAAGAACACCAGUGGCGAAGGGCG